rfam:Pteropus alecto contig107034, whole genome shotgun sequence.
GUCUAUGGCCAUGCUACUCUGAACAAGCCCAAUCCCGUCUGAUCUCGGAAGCUAAGCAGGGUCGGGCCUGGUUAGUACUUGGAUGGGAGACCACCUAGGAAGUCCAGGUGCUAUAGGCA